rnacentral:rRNA from 1 species
UACGUAGGGGGCAAGCGUUGUCCGGAAUUAUUGGGCGUAAAGAGCGCGUAGGCGGUCCGGUAAGUCGGUUGUGAAAGUCGGGGGCUCAACCCUCGGAUGCCGAUCGAUACUGUCGGGCUAGAGUCCGGAAGAGGCGAGUGGAAUUCCUGGUGUAGCGGUGAAAUGCGCAGAUAUCAGGAGGAACACCAAUGGCGAAGGCAGGUCACUGGGCCGCAACUGACGCUGAGGAGCGAAAGCAUGGGGAGCGAACAGG